rnacentral:rRNA from 1 species
UACGGAGGUCUCAAGCGUUGUUCGGAUUCAUUGGGCGUAAAGGGCGCGCAGGCGGCUACGCACGUCCGUUGUGAAAUCGCUCGGCUCAACUGGGCGGGGUCAGCGGAUACGGCGUAGCUGGAGCAAGCUAGGGGGCAAUGGAAUUCCCGGUGUAGUGGUGGAAUGCGUAGAUAUCGGGAGGAACACCAGUGGCGAAGGCGGUUGCCUGGAGCUUUGCUGACGCUGAGGCGCGAAAGCGUGGGGAGCGAUCCGG